rnacentral:lncRNA from 1 species
GGUAUAACUGUCCCUCCGAUCUGAGACCGCCAUGGUGACUUGCAAGCAACUCACUGCACUUAGGCACUGGACUACCUGAAUUUCUAAUUCAGUGACGGAAGACUGUUGGGUGUAGUCAAGUACUUGACUUGUCAGUGCGUGUGUCAAGAUGGGAUUGACCACUCCAGUUCAGGAGCUGUGUACAGUCGUGUUUCAAUUUAGCAAAACCUUGACCAGGGUAGUCCUAGUGAGGAGUCACAGG